CAACCCUCGAACCCCUCCGGGGGGUCGUUGGGGAUCGGCCCUUCACGGGGCCGGCCCCGAAAUACAGUGGCGGUCUCGCCGCAGCCUCUCCUGCGCAGUAGUUUGCACACUCGCAUCGGGAGCGCGGCGCGUCCAUUGCCGUAAAACACCCAACUUUCUGAAA
rnacentral:misc_RNA from 1 species